rnacentral:rRNA from 1 species
CCUGUUUAUCAAAAACAUGGUUUCUUGUAAUUAUUUAAGAGAUCUGACCUGCCCACUGAAGAUAUUUUGAAGGGCCGCAGUAUUUUGACUGUGCAAAGGUAGCAUAAUCAUUAGUCUUUUAAUUGAAGGCUGGUAUGAAUGGUUGGAUGAGGUAAAUUCUGUUUUAUGUUAAUUGGUGUUGAAUUUAGAUUUUAAGUAAAAAUACUUAAAUGUUAUUAAGGGACGAGAAGACCCUAUAGAGUUUAAUAAAUGUAGUAAAUAAUUGAGUUAAAUCUUAAUUUUUGGUUUUUAUGUAAUUUAUUUAAUUGGGGUGAUUGGAAAGAUAAAAUAAACUCUUCUUUGUAUUUAAUAAAUUAAUUAGUUUUAUGAUCCAUAUUUAAUGAUUAAAAGAUUAAAUUACCUUAGGGAUAACAGCAUAAUUCUUUUUAAGAGUUCAUAUCGAAAAAAGAGAUUGUGACCUCGAUGUUGGAUUAAGAUUAGUUAUGGGUGCAGAUGUUCAAUAACUAGGUCUGUUCGACCUUGAAAAUCUUACAUGAUCUGAGUUCAA